GUUUUGGGCAUGAAAAGUGACGACAGCAAACGCGUUAACGAAUGUCGACUGCUGACUGCGAUUAGUUCCGAGACACGCGCUUGCAUUUGAAUGUCUUUGGACGCCCACUGAAUAUAUAGAGUCUAUACUCGUAGUGGAGCUGGCACACAGGGCCAGAGUUACACAUGUGCGGGCCAGCCAGAUGAUAAGUCCAUUUGUCUCGUCUGGGCCACGCCUAAUUCAGUUUGGACGUUAUUCAAUUUCCCGGCCAACCUGUGCUUCCAUCUAGGCAACUUGUGCCAUCAGCCAGGGGGCGUUGUCGGAAAUUUACAUAAACAUGGGGCUCACGGAAAGCCUUUAAAUGGAAUCCAAAAUAUUCUCAAGGACUUCCAUGUUAAUGACCAUGUUAUUAAUGAAUUUUUAAUAUCAUUUUCAUUGAGUCUGCUCUGGACACACAAAUUUGAUUGAAUUUUGCGGCAGCGUACAGUGGUUCCCAUUGUAUGGGGAAAGCGGCCAAAAAUACUUUAGUUGAGGUAGACACUUGAAACUUAGCACAACAUUUUCUUAUUUUUGUAUAUGAAAAAAUCAGCCGGAUCGGACCACUAUAUCAUAUAGCUGUCAUAUGAACGAUCAGUUUGAAAUUAAGUGUUAGUAUGUACAACUUUUUUUUUCAAUUAUUUUGAAACGAAAACUUCUACAUAAGAAAUUACCGAGACGGGAUCGACUACGGAACCGAGUACUAAAUAUACUAAAUACCAUUAUUUAUUAUACGAAUGCCUUCCAUUGCAGAGUAAUGUCGAUUUAUAAGGUUUUUUAUUGACUUUAGGGACAGCUUCACUUGCAACUUGCUCACGCUGCAAUAAUAUAUUGAUAUCAAGCUGUCUCUUUCGAUGCUGUUCUAGAAGCGGAAUAGCUAACCAAUUAUUUGGACAAUUUGGACAUUGAUUUUUUUAUUUUUGGCCUAUGGGGGAACCACUGUGCAGCGGUAGGUUCAUUUUAAAUCGAAAUAUUAACUUUAAUUAAUAAGGCAAACAAUGUGGGCUUAAUUGCGGGUGUUUUUAAGUUUAGAUAAAUAAAGACUUCCAAAAAUAACUUUUAA